rnacentral:tRNA from 1 species
GCCGGCGUAGCUCAAUGGUAGAGCAUCCGAUUUGUAAUCGGAAGGUUGCGGGUUCAAGUCCCUUCGCCGGCUCCA